CGAGUGAGCGGCAAAGCUCAAUUUGAAGCUAGCACCUUCGGUGUUCGCGUUGUAAUUUGAAGAUAGUUUCCUUGAGUAGUCCUUUAUCUAUGUUCCUUGGAACAGGACGUCAUAGAGGGUGAGAACCCCGUAUGAUUUUGGAUACUACUCUUUGUGGGAUUCUAUCGAAGAGUCGAGUUGUUUGGGAAU
rnacentral:rRNA from 1 species